rnacentral:hammerhead_ribozyme from 1 species
ACCUAGCUGACGAGUCCCAAAUAGGACGAAACGUGCGUCCUGGAU